GGCAGGGUAGCAAAGUGGUCUAAUGCAGCGGCCUUAAGCCGGGUGAUUUUUCACUCACGUAAGCCAUCCGCCAUUCGCGGGUUCGAACCCCGUCCUUGCCA
rnacentral:tRNA from 1 species